ensembl:lncRNA
CAGGAGGAUACCUCUCAUCGCUGACCUCCAUCCAGACACGGAGCCAUUGACCACCACUCUCUGGAUUAGAUCCUGCAGCCAGGUCAUUGUCCAUCAAACAGUCUACCCUUCAAAUCGAUCUCUUUCCAAUUUGGAGGGAAGGAUGUUGUGGGCUGCUGUGUCAAAGGCCUUACUGAAGUCCAGACAGAUGACAUCAGUGGCUCUUCCCUUGUCCAUUGCUGCAGUGAUGCCAUUGUGGAAGGCUGCUAGGUAGGUCAAACAGGAUUUGCCCCUGGUGAAGCCAUGCUGGUUCUCCCAUAUCACCUCCCUGUCUUCUGUGUGCCUUAGCAUCACUUCCAGGAGGAUCUGCUCCACAAUCUUUCCCAGUACAGAGGUGAAACUGACAGGUCCAUGUCUCUUCUGCACUGAGGACUCUACAUCUGGAUGCAGUACUCCAGGUGAGGCCUCUUCAGUACAGAGCAGAGGGGCAGGAUCACUUCCCUUCACUGCUGACCACUCUUCUUUUGAUGCGUCCCAGGAUAUGGUUGGUUUUCUGGGCUGGGAGGGCACACUGCUGGCUCAUGUCCAGCUUGCCAUCUACCAGUACCUCCAGGUCUUUUGGGACAUGCUUAUGCUCAGUCCUUUCAUCCCCCAGCAUGUAUUGGUAGUGGGGGGUCCUCUUGUCCCAUGUGCAAGACCCUGCACCUGGAUUUGUUGAACCUGAUGAGGUUUCAAAUCCGUUCACCUGUGCCUGCUGCUCGAGCCUGUUCAGGUCCCUCUGGUUGGUGUCCUGUCCCUUUGGUGUGUCACUGCACCCCACAGCUUGGUGUCGUCAGCAAAUUUUCUGAGGGCGCACUCGACCCCGCUGAUGAUGUCGCUGAUGAAGAUAUUGAAGAGUGUCAGCCUCAGCAUAGACCCCUGUGGGACAACACUCAUCACCAAUCGCCAUCUAGACAUGGAGCCAUUGAUCGCUGCUCUCUGGACUCAGUCCUGCAGCCGAUCUUUGUCCAUUCAACAGUCCACCCACCGAAUCCGUAUCUUUCCCAGCUUCCCAAAACAGCUUCCUAAAACUCAAUCCAAUCAAAAUUCUGUGCUGUCUAGUAACAAGGACUUCCAUCAGACUGAGAGCUCAGGCUUUACAGGCCAGUGGUGGAGCCAAGAGGGAGGCCUCUGGAUUUUCAGAAAGGACCGAGAAGGCUGAGAAUCAGUUUUGAGUUGUGCUGUGGAACAGAAUGUACAGCUGGAUCUAGAACAGUUGCCAAAGAGGUGUCCAUGGGCAAACGGUGCUGGAUUUCCCAGGUGGAGAUCAUGAAGUUCCUUGCCUCCUUGCAAAGUGUUCUCAUAUUAUUCUUAUAUAGCGUUGUAUGUUACUGCUGUACUAAGAUCUUUACUACAAAUCCAUUAUCUGUUUCCCAAAGGUAAUGGUGAUGCUGAGAAGCAUGCCUCAUGAUGACUUACACAUCCCUCAUGCUUCAUAUUAAUUCUUCCUUUGGGUCAAAAGUAGACUGAAAUUCUUGAAACCUUGCCUGGGAAUCCUGCUGUUGCUAAAAUGGUUCAGCCGUGGUGCCUGUGGUCAGAAUACCUUGUGGCAGACCCUGGCACUGGCUGUGAAUGAAAGAACUGAUGACAAAUUGCUCAAUAUCGAAAGCGAGCCAGUGCAUAUUUACAAGCCUUGGGUGAGCCAGAUGGAAUCUAAGAGGGGGAGGCCAGGUAGGGAAGCUGUUACUAUGAUGUUUCUUAGAAGACUUGCAAGGCUGUUUUGCAUUGCUCUGUUAAUUGUUCCAAGGCACCCUUGGCUUCACUGUGUGCAAUUCAUACCAUGUUUUUUCAUCACCUCAGAUGCUGGCUG